CCUAAACUUGCCGUUGGUUUUUUACCGGAAUUAUACAUGCAAGUAUCCGCACCCCAGUGAAAACGCCCACUAACCACCUAAACAGACAACAGGAGCAGGUAUCAGGCACACCAUAAAAUUAAGCCAACGACGCCCAGCUACGCCACACCCCCACGGGUCAUCAGCAGUAAUUAAUAUUAAGCAAUAGGCGACUAAGCCUGACUUAGUCACGGUAUACCAGGGUUGGUUAAUUUCGUGCCAGCCACCGCGGUUAUACGAAAGACCCGAAACAACGGCCCUCGGCGUAAAGCGUGGCAAGAACUUCUUCAUCUAAGAAUUAAUGGGAAAACCAAGCCGAAGCUGUAAAACGCCACGGUAUAUAAG
rnacentral:rRNA from 1 species